GCCGGCCAGCUGAUAGGGGACAAGCGGGAGGACAUUAAACCGAAGGUCAUGGCCCAGCUAUUUAACAUCAGGUGCUUGCACCAGGUGCCCAAAGCACUGCAGGGGCUGUGCUCGUGGGACAGCCUUGAAGGGCCCCCCCUUCGCAUGACCAGAAGCUCCCACUCCCUGCCGCAGAUGAUUGGAAGCACCUUCACUCAACAUUUCUAUUUCCAAUCUAUCCUUCUACAGAUGAAGUGACCCAAAUGAAUGCAGGAUUUGUGUUUGUUUAAUUUCAGGUGUGAAUUACCCAGGAAGAAUUUCUCAUUUCCUCCCUGGAUUCAGUGAAAGUUUCAAUCUGAAUUUGCUUCAGGAACAACCAUGUUGCUCAUCUCUGAAUGUUUUCUACCUGGUUUCUCACAUUUACCACCUCUCUGAUGUGUAAACCCAGCCUGCUAUCAAACAGCCAGCCAUACCAUACCCAGAGGUGGCCUUCCCUUGUCUCUUGGUUUGUUUAAUCUCAGCCUCUCCCUGUGGUGAGCCCUGGAAACUGCACAAUUCAUCUGAUAAGAAAAACUUUCACUAAGGGGAAGACUUUCAGAAAGGAUUUAAUAGGAAAAAGGCACAAAGUCAAGUUGAAGAAAUUAUUGGCCUAAAAAAGCAGGAAACUUCCACCCCCUCCAAACAAUAGGAAAUUAUACAAAGAAAGCUUAUCAACCCUUUCACACUCACUCUUGUAUUUCCUGCAACUUCACAGAAAUCCUAUAAAAACACCUGUUUUGUGUAUCAACCAGGAAGGGACUUUCUCUGAGCAUCAUUUCUGAGAGAAAGAGGCAAAGCAUUUACAUCAUCACGGGGUUAUUUUGUCCAAUCAAAUUGUUAUGAUAUUGAACCCCCAGAGUCACCAUGUCCGACAUCAUCAUAUCCUGUGUCUCCAGGAGGCAAGGACGAAGUUUCCUUCUUCAUCCCAGAGACAACUUCACCCCUUAGCGAGUGCCGACUCCAACCUGAAAACACCAAGGGAGACACAUACAGUCGGUGGAUCCAUUCUACGGUUAUGUGCGG